CCAUUUCUGACGCUAAGGCACGAAAGCGUGGGGAGCGAACCGGAUUAGAUACCCGGGUAGUCCACGCCGUAAACGAUGGAUACUAGCUGUUGGAGGUAUCGACCCCUUCAGUAGCGAAGCUAACGCGUUAAGUAUCCCGCCUGUGGAGUACGGCCGCAAGGCUAAAACAUAAAGGAAUUGACGGGGACCCGCACAAGCGGUGGAUCGUGUUCUUUAAUUCGAUGCUAAACGAAGAACCUUACCAGGGCUUGACAUCCAGGGAAUUUUUGGGAAACCAAUUAGUGCCUUUUGGAACCCUGUGACAGGUGAUGCAUGGCCGUCGUCAGCUCGUGUCGUGAGAUGUUUGGUUAAGUCCAUCAACGAGCGCAACCCUUGCAACUAGUUGGAUUUUUCUAGUUGGACUGCUUCGGUAACGGAGAGGAAGGAGGGGAUGAUGUCAGGUCAGUAUUUCCCUUACGUCCUGGGCUAGAAACACGAUACAAUGGCUAGUACAAUGCGCAGCAAAGCCGCGAGGUGGAGCAAAUCGCAUCAAAGCUAGUCCCAGUUCGGAUUGGAGGCUGAAACUCGCCUCCAUGAAGUCGGAAUCGCUAGUAAUCGCAGAUCAGCAAGCUGCGGUGAAUACGUUCCCGGGUCUUGUACACACCGCCCGUCAAACCAUGAAAGUGACCAACACCCGAAGUCCGAUUCGUCGGCCUAAGGUGGGGGGCAUGAUUGGGGUUAAGUCGUAACAAGGUAUCCGUACCGGAAGGUGCGGAUG
rnacentral:rRNA from 1 species